rnacentral:sRNA from 1 species
GCGUAAGCUGAAGGCAGAGUAUGAAAC